AAAAAGUGGGUCUCCGGAGACCAGGGGCCUAUCUGCCAGAUUCACGAACAACCUGACCCAAUGCAGGCAAAUGCAGAGGAUGUCCCAUAACUGUCCCACUUCCUGGGAACCCUUCUUUGUGGCCAGACAGGGUUUAGUGCAGAGAGACAGAGAAGAGCCAGGUGUCCCCUGGCCCAAUGCUUCCGGGAAGCGUCUUGGCCUUCCCACCUCUGAGAACAUUCAGGCCUUUGAGAUGUGGCCCCUGCCUGCCCCAGUACCCCCGGCCCGACAAUGGGGGCUUCAGAGGAGCCUGGAUGGCAGGACACAGCCCCCUCUGUGAAGCGGAGUUGACCGCCAAGCUGGAGGUCUUCGUGGAUUUAUCAGGGAGAAGCAUGGCUGACUAAAGGAAUUCUGGCACCACGUGACAACCAUCUUCCUCAUCAAGAUUGGUGUCCUGGGAAGUGGCUAUCCCUGACCUUCCGGCAGAAUGAGGAGAAAAGUCUGAACCAGGCAGUUUACCUUCCCCCGGUAGCACUCCUCUCAGGCCAUGGAGAAUAACAAUAGCUAACAUUAACUGAGCUUUUGCUAGGGGCCAGAACUUUGCGUGCAUUAUCUCAUUUAAUCCUUGUACUAAGAGGUAAGUACCAUUACUAUUGCCAAAAGAGGAAACAGAAGCUUAGUAUGGUUAAGUGAUUUGCUCAAUGGCUGGAAGAGAUGAAGUAACCCACCUCAAGGUUGUUCAGGUAGUUUGCAGUAGAGUCAGGAUUUGAACCCAAGCAGUCUAAAUCCCGAGAUUCAUUUCACCAAAAACAGAAACCAGAGAAUAGAAUCCUGAUCCCUGCAGCAGGUCAGCUGAGCCAGGACCAAUUCAUUGCUUGAUUCCUACAAAGGAUUCUUGCUGAUGAAGGUAACAAGGAAGAUAGAAAGAGGAGAUUGAUAACAGUGAGGAAGAACAUGUUGAUGAAUAGGUGACUAGGAAAUUCCUACCUAGGAAUCAUUGAGUUGUUCAUUCAUUAAUCCGUCAUCCAUCUCGGGAACUCUGUUGAGUGGCCAUAGAGUGUAAAUAACAUGAGCUCUGGAGCCUGACAGACUGAGUUCAAAUCCCAGUUCUGCCAUGAUUUCCUGUGUGACCUUGGGCACGUUGCUUCACUUCUCUGAGCCUCAGACGUCUCAUCAAUAAAGUGAGGAUAAUAAAUUAUCUAUCUUGUAGGGCUGCUGUGAGAAUACAUGUUAUAAUACAUAGGAAGUGGUUUGUAUGUUGCCUAGUACAGAAUGAACACUCAAUGAACGUUAGCUAUUAUUAUUAUUAUUACUUCUACUUCUGUCCAGGUGCUGGGCUAAGGUACCAGAGUUACAAAGAUGAAUGGGACUGCCUCUCUGAUUGAAGAGAUUAGUGGAAGAGAUAGAGAUAGAC
rnacentral:lncRNA from 10 species